UACACACCCCCAGCCUCCCCCCAGCGCCCCCCUCCCUACCCGCACUUGGCACCGUUUAGCUGUCUGCCUGCGAACUUAACAACCCCAGUUCUUGGUAUAAGCACUCAAAUUAUCCCUCUUUCUACAUAUAAACACGGCCCGGGGUGUGCGGCUCUCCCCGGCCGCGGGGUCCCCCCGGCGCAGCCCGGCUACCCCGCACCGACCCCGGCCCCGGCCGGAGGAAGUUUCUGCUGCGGGACACGGCAGGAGAAAACGAGCCGGAUCCAGAACUCCCCGCUCUGCGGGGCUCCCCCGGGCCAGCGCUCAGGUGGUGUUGACAGAAGAGGAUGAGUAGGAGAUAUCAACGGCAGGCACACGUGUCCCAGGAGAGGGUGAAACACCAGCAGAGAUGGAGCAAGAAAUGAGCCUUGGACAGCUGCAGGAGAGAAAUCCAAACCCCCUUUGGAAAGUGGGGGGCACCUGCAGGCUGGGGGCACACCAUGAAACAUCCAUCCCUACAGGCACUGGAGAGGAUCGAGUGGCCAUCAGGGCCUGGUGUGGUCCCCUUGGCACUGGGGAAGGUGCAGGGCUGUGCAAGGUGCUCAGAGAGACCUCACACUACUUGUCUCUGGAGCUCUUACAGCAGAGAGGGGUGCAGGAGGAGACGCCUCCUGAACAUCAGCUGCUCUGGUGGGGCUGCACCAGACCUCCACUGCAGCCAAAAAUGACGUGGGGAAGAAGAGAUAUUGAACUCCUCUGCAGCAGGGUGGUGACUCAUGCCCACCAGGCUUGGCAUGAGGCUGCUCCCACCUGCAUUGGUCCUUCCUGUGCUAUCCACAAUUACCAUGAAAGGAGUUGAGCCCAGACAAGUGGAAAAGGAAGGAAGGUGGCAGAGACUGCAGUGACAGGGACCACAGCCUGGGAAUCCCUGUGCUGUUUGUGUGCCAGGAACUGGGAGCAAAAUGACGUGAUGCAUCUUGUUAUGACACAGACAUGCAAGCAGGAUGAUCAUGGGGCAGAGCAGAGCAAAGGGGGAGAGGAUGGGAGAUAUCACUCAGGACCCAUCCUGCUGCUGGGAUGUUUCCGUGGGUAGAGUGGGACAUGUGAAGGGGACAACUGGCCACCAAGGGAGCACAACAACACCUACAGUAAAGGGCUGAAGGUUGAACAUAGGAAGCAAAGGUGGUUUGGGCUCGGAUGUGAGAGAAGACUCAUUUCUGGAGCACCUUCUCCAGUGGGAGAUGAUUUCAGAGGGAUCAUGGGGGUUUGAAUUGGCCAAAUUGGAGAGGUUAGGCUGAUGUUUCUAAUGUGAUUGCAACCAAGCCAGCUCUGCUGGGGAUGUCUGUUAUAUUUAUUCAUGGUAGGAAAGGCACGGACCAGCAGACUUUUAGAUCCCCACAGGCAUUAACAGGGGGAACGGGUCCUUUCCCAGGGAUUGACCAUGGACGUGAUUGUACUACUUCACCACAGGGCUUUCCAGAUGUCAGCUGUGUCCCAAAAAAUAAAUGAUGAAGAAAGGGAGAAUAAACCCCAAUGCAAGCAAGGCAGCACAACCUCCUCCUCUGCUCUCUCACUAAAGGCUCAGUCAACCCUAUUUUUGGGACCUGCAAGGUGAGCAAAUGCAGAGCAAAUGCCCCCUAGUAGGGGGACUCAUUUUGCCCUUAGACCAGGGACCUCCUACUUUCACAGCUUCUGGGUGCACAUGCCUGGUCCCACCAUCACAGCCUUUUGUCCCAAGUGAGACCUGCCUUUGGGAAGGCAAUUUCACUCCCAUGUGCACCUUCCCUGGUCUUCUUUGGGGCUGUGUCCCCCCUCUAGCCUCCCUUUACCCUAUUAAUAUCCUUUGACUGUCCUCACACCUGCAGACAAUCUGGUCCCCAACCACCUCCACCUCCCCCCUUCCUCAAAAGCUUCCCUCAGCUGUCUUUAACUCGUAGCUGAAAUCUGCGGUAUGUAGGAGGAGAAAUUCAGUCUGACAGCAGUUUAAAACACCGCACUACUUGGCAGAUUUAAAUGCUAUUUUAAAUAUAAGCUAUGACACAACGGACAAAAAUAGCAUUGAAAAUACCCUGUCAUGUUCCAUAUUGCGAGGAAUAGGGAAGCAGACCAGGCUAGAAAGGAGCAGAGAGAGGGGCCAGAUGGAGAGGAGAGGUUAUUUUGUUUGUUUUAAAGAAACUGGAUAAAUGUAUUUUGUAUGUGACUGAGUAAAUGUGUUUUAUGGAACACAGAGCCAAAAAAAAUAAAUAAACCUUCUCAUGAAAAA